rnacentral:rRNA from 1 species
AUUAACGCUAGCGGCAGGCAUAAUACAUGCAAGUUGAACGGCAGCACAGGUAGCAAUACCGGGUGGCGAGUGGCGCACGGGUGCGUAACACGUAUGCAACCUACCCUAUACAGGCGAAUAACCUUUAGAAAUGAGGGCUAAUACGCCGUGGUAUUAUCUUGGGGCAUCUUGAGAUAAUUAAAGAUUCAUCGGUAUAGGAUGGGCAUGCGUCCCAUUAGUUAGUUGGUAGAGUAACGGCCUACCAAGGCUAUGAUGGGUAGGGG